rnacentral:rRNA from 1 species
AUGUUGUUAGACAACGAUGAACCUUCGAACUAUGAAGAAGCGAUGGCGGGCCCAGAUUCCAACAAAUGGCUUGGAGCCAUGAAAUCCGAGAUAGAAUCCAUGUAUGAAAACAAAGUAUGGACUUUGACUGACUUGCCCAAUGAUCGGCGAGCGAUAGAAAACAAAUGGAUCUUUAAGAAGAAGACGGACGCUAAUGGUAAUGUCACCAUCUAUAAAGCUCGACUUGUCGCUAAGGGUUAUCGGCAAGUUCAAGGGAUUGACUACGAUGAGACUUUCUCUCCCGUAGCGAAGCUUAAGUCCGUCUGA